rnacentral:sRNA from 1 species
GGCGGUGUGCUGCUCAGCCCCUUUCUGCUCUAUGCGGUGCUGGCGCUGCUGGUGACCGGCGUGUUGCGUGUGGUCCUGGCGAAGCUCGGGCUGGCGCGCUGGAUCUGGCACGAAGCGUUGUUCGACUGUGCCCUG